rnacentral:rRNA from 1 species
UCUUCCUACGGGGGGCAGCAGUGAGGAAUAUUGGUCAAUGGACGCAAGUCUGAACCAGCCAUGCCGCGUGCAGGAAGACGGCUCUAUGAGUUGUAAACUGCUUUUGUACGAGGGAAAACGCAGAUACGUGUAUCUGUCUGAAAGUAUCGUACGAAUAAGGAUCGACUAACUCCGUGCCAGCAGCCGCGGGAAUACGGAGGAUUCAAGCGUUAUCCGGAGUUAUUGGGUUUAAA